rnacentral:tRNA from 1 species
GGCUCAAUGGCGUAGUUGGUUAUCGCAUCUGUCUAACACACAGAAGGUCUCCUGUUCGAGCCAGGAUUGAGUCA